UACGGGGGGAGCAAGCGUUGUUCGGAUUUACUGGGCGUAAAGGGCGCGUAGGCGGUCAGCACAAGUCAGUUGUGAAAUCUCCGGGCUUAACUCGGAAAGGUCAACUGAUACUGUGCGACUAGAGUGCGGAAGGGGCAACUGGAAUUCUUGGUGUAGCGGUGAAAUGCGUAGAUAUCAAGAGGAACACCUGCGGCGAAGGCGGGUUGCUGGGCCGACACUGACGCUGAGGCGCGAAAGCUAGGGGAGCGAACGGG
rnacentral:rRNA from 1 species